rnacentral:rRNA from 1 species
GAUCAUGGCUCAAAUUGAACGCUGGCGGCAGGCUUAACACAUGCAAGUCGAGCGGAGAGAGGUAGCUUGCUACUGAUCUUAGCGGCGGACGGGUGAGUAAUACUUAGGAAUCUGGCUAUUAGUGGGGGACAACAUUUCGAAAGGGAUGCUAAUACCGCAUACGUCCUACGGGAGAAAGCAGGGGAUCUUCGGACCUUGCGCUAAUAGAUGAGCCUAAGUCGGAUUAGCUAGUUGGUGGGGUAAAGG